rnacentral:sRNA from 1 species
UGGAACAAAAGAGUCUUGACAUUUGUUGUACUGUUAUUUGAAUGGAAAAUGUCAGUAUGAAUACAUGAAACAUUUUAUCUUUAAGAAACAAGUGUGUGUGUGUGUGUGUGUGUGUGUGUGUGUAUCCAG